rnacentral:misc_RNA from 1 species
GUUGGACUUUGGAACCCAUAUUGACGGACGUAUUGUGGAUUGUGCAUUUACUCUGGCUUUCAAUCCUAUGUUUGAUCCACUACUUGAGGCUUCACGAGAAGCCACUAAUACUGGCAUUAAGGAAGCGGGAAUUGAUGUACGCCUUUGUGAUGUCGGUGCUGCAAUUCAAGAGGUUAUGGAAUCCUAUGAGGUUGAAAUCAACGGGAAGGUAUUCCAAGUUAAGAGCAUCCGAAAUCUGAAUGGGCACAGUAUUGGCCAGUAUCAAAUCCACGCAGGAAAAUCUGUUCCGAUAGUUAAAGGAGGAGAACAAACCAAAAUGGAAGAGGGUGAAUUUUAUGCAAUUGAGACGUUCGGAUCAACAGGGAAGGGAUACGUGAGGGAAGAUCUUGAAUGCAGCCAUUAUAUGAAAAACUUUGAUAUUGGACACAUUCCACUGCGGCUACCCAGAGCCAAGCAACUGCUGGCAACGAUUAAUAAGAACUUCUCCACAUUGGCAUUCUGUAGACGUUAUCUAGACCGCCUUGGCGAGACAAAAUAUCUGAUGGCAUUGAAGAACUUAUGUGAUGCUGGAAUUGUUCAG